rnacentral:rRNA from 1 species
AAGAGGUCCAGCCUGCCCAGUGACUUUGUUCAACGGCCGCGGUAUCCUAACCGUGCGAAGGUAGCGUAAUCACUUGUCUUUUAAAUGGGGACUUGUAUGAAUGGCAUCACGAGGGUUAUACUGUCUCCUUUUUCUAAUCAGUGAAACUAAUCUUCCCGUGAAGAAGCGGGAAUAAACAUAUAAGACGAGAAGACCCUAUGGAGCUUUAAACUCAAUAACAAAUACUAACCUUACAUCAACUUUCAGAAGAUCAACCUUAAUUUUAGUAUUAUGAUUAUUAGUUUUAGGUUGGGGUGACCGCGGAGUAAAAAUUAACCUCCACAUUGAACGGGACCUGUCCCUGAGCCAAGAACUACAGCUCGAAGCACCAACAAAUUGACAUUAAUUGACCCA